AAACAAAUAAAAGACCCAGGACAAAAAGCCUCUCGCCUCUGCCUGACCCUCCCGGAAGGAGAGCCGGGUGUUUGCUCCCUCUUUGCCUCCCUCCGCCCCUCGGGCUUUGGAGGGGACAGAGCUGGCCAGGAAUCACUGCCCAGGGUUGACAAGGAUUGCACUGGAUUCUACUCUGCUAAUCAAAGCCCUGCAGCCAUUAUUGUCCAGUGUGAAAACGUGGAUCAAGAGCUGAGCCGCAUCACCAGAGGACGAUGGGGAAAGGUGCGUAGGUUUUUUGGGAACCUCGGCAGNACCAUUUUGCGUAUAGGAGGCCGAUUUUUUGGUUAGAGAACUCCGGAUGAGAGAGUGUGGAGUGGAGAGCCAAAUCUACGUGCUUCUGAUGCAGCUGCGUAGCCAUUUCAUCUAGAAAUUUAAAUCNAGGUCCAUUGCAUUUUUUCGUAGCCCAUGUCUCUUUUACCUGUGGCUUAAAUACAUUACAUUUCAUGGGGUGUCAAUACAUUAAAAAUGCGCUUAAAAAUGAAUAAAACUAAACUCAUAAAUGUGUUUUCUUC
rnacentral:lncRNA from 1 species